rnacentral:rRNA from 1 species
AUGACGUCGACCCCCUCGCAAUCCCGGCUGAGUCCAUUGCUAACUCUAAGACUACUACUUCUCCUUGCAGCAGCAGCAACCCAGCGGUUGAUCCUGCAGGGCGGUGCUGGUGCUGAAGAGCAGGAGCAGCAGCGUCGACCCAUCACGCUUGAGGGUUGCCAGGCCAUGUGUGGCAACAUCAGCAUCCCCUUCCCGUUCGGCAUAAAGCCUGGAUGCUUCGUCAAGGGCUUCCAGGUCACCUGCAACGACUCAUUCGACCCACCUCGCGUCUUCCUCUUCUACAACAGGACGGCAGUAACAUACUGCUACAACGAGAUGGGCGAGGGCGCGUACUCGGCGAGCAUGUUGGAACCGACGCUGAAGAGGAGGUGGGAAGCACCGGUGGAACUCAUGGACAUAUCGAUUGCCAAGAGCGAGGCACGGGCGUACGGACUAGUGAGAUCCGACUGCAGCACGAAUGCGCUCGACCACCUGCUGAAGCUUCAGGUUACGUGGCUGCGUGAGCCAUUCUACCUGUCGGAGAAGCGCAACGUUCUCAUCAGUGUCGGCUUCGGUGUCGAAGCUAGGAUGGGCAGCGGCUUACUGGGCUCGACGAGCUACGAUACGACAUGCUAUUCAACAGUCGGCCCUACCUGCGAGGUCGCCUUUUCAAAAGGAAGCAUCCUCACCUCGUUUGGUGUGACAUUCGAACCAGAGAAUAACACUUUUUGGGAAAAUUCUCCCUGCUCCUACGGCAUGGUGGUGGAGAGCUCGUGGUACAACUUCUCUGAGGAGGACAGGCGCGGCUACGAGGUGCUAUCCAACAAGUACUCGAGGGGUGUCCCCGUGGUGCUCGAUUUCGCCUUUAGGGAUGGUUCAUGUCCGUAUGCGGACUGCUCUGUCCGUCCAGGCUACAGGUGCGUCAACGGCAACAGCUCCUGUGUCAAUGCAACCAGUGCCGAAGGCUAUUUCUGCAAGUGCUGGGAACAUUACGAUGGCAACCCUUACAUUCCUAAUGGAUGCCAAGACAUCAACGAGUGCGAGCUCCGGGAACAAAAUACCGAUCUCCGUGAUUUGUAUCCUUGUGAUGGGAUCUGUAAGAACAGGCUGGGAGGCUAUGACUGUAGAUGCAAACCCGGAAUGAAAGGGGACGCCAUAAAAGGAACAUGUACGGAGAAAUUCCCCCUAGCAGCAAAGGUGGUUGUGGGCCUUGCUGCUAUGAUUGUUGUCUCUGUCCUCAUGGUUAUGGUCCAUCAACUCCUAAAAUUCAAAAGGUUCUAUGAACAAAAUGGUGGUCCGGUACUAAAAGGUGUAAAGAACAUAAGGAUCUAUACAAGGAAACAAAUGAAACAAAUGACAAAUAACUACAAGCGUGUAGUUGGAGAGGGUCAUUUUGGCAAGGUAUAUCUGGGGACUCUGAAAGACAAACAAAAGGUGGCUAUAAAGAAGUCCAUCGAGGUUGACAAGCACAUGAAGAAGGAGUUCACUGAUGAGGUUAUAAUCCAGUCUGCGAUGAGACACAAGAACAUUGUCAUGCUCCUAGGCUGCUGCUUAGAGGUGGAUGUUCCCAUGUUGGUGUACGAGUUCGUAGCGAGAGGGAGUCUGUAUGAUGUCCUCUUCAAGUGCAGAGAUAAGAUUCUAGUGGGCACACGACUGAGGAUUGCUGUCGGGUCAGCCGAAGGCUUGACAUACAUGCAUUCAGCAGGGGAGAGCACAAUCCGUCAUGGUGAUGCUAAAUCUGCCAAUAUCCUUCUCGACGAAAAGUUCAGCCCAAAAGUUUCAGACUUUGGGACAUCAAAGCUACUCGCGAGAGGAAAAGCCGAGAUGACAGAACAUGUCAUUGGGGACAUGAGCUACAUUGAUCCGGUAUAUAUGGAGCAAGGGAUCGUUACACAGAAGAGCGAUGUCUACGGCUUCGGAGUUGUCCUCAUAGAACUUAUCACAAGGAGGCCUGCAACAUAUGAUGCUGAGAGGAGCUAUGUUGCAAAUUUUGUUGAAGCUUGUCUAGCAAAAAGAGCAAGAAACUUUAUUGAUAACGAUGUUACAAGUGAGGCGGAUAUCAAUCUCUUGGAAAUGGUUAGCAGGGUCGCCGUGGAUUGUCUAAAGCCCAAUCCAGAAGAACGACAAGAUAUGAAACAUGUAGAGCACCGCCUCCUUGAGAUUGUUGCACAGUCUGAAGAUCAUAGUCAGGAGAGGGACUACAAGGGAGAUUUUAGUCCGGCACCAGAUGAUGUUGCUUUGCUUAAAGGCUUGGGAGAAUAA